CCAUUCCAGGGAUGGCCCCACCCAUUCCCAGGAAGUACCUCCCACUGGCUCAAGAGGUCCUUGGUAGAUGAGAAGGUGCACAGCUGGGUGGAGGAGCCGAUGACAACUCUGGGCAGGCCGCCCACGGCCCCACGCCACAACCCCACUAGACCAUGUUUCUGGCCAAUCUCGCAAUUUCAGAGGCUGCCUGUGCCUGUAGGUGUGUCUUCACCUGGAGACAAGAAAGCAUCACAGCCUGGGUCCCAGGGGUCACCUUCCCACCACCGAGACCAGAACGCCAAAGCCCUCGCUCACACUUCCUCUAGGGUAUUAAGCAACCAAUAUAUUCUUUUAAUCUGAUGUGGCAACAAUGACUACUUGACAAAGCCAGGAAGUCUGAUUCAAAGUUCAGUUGUAGGCAGCCUAGGAUGCAUACCUGUUAACUGAAGCACUGAGAAAGCUGAGGUUGGACUGCAGUUAGAAGCCAGGCUGUGCUACAGAGGAACUUUCGAUUCUGUGAUAUAGGAAGGCCCUGCCUCAACAAACAAACGACACCCCAACUCAAAGGCAUUCUCCAGCAGCUAAAUCUGUAAUCUUUAACAACACACAUUGCAGAGGCUGUUGGGUGGCUGUGUAUAAGGCAAGUCAGAAGGCCUUGAAGCUUGCCAGCACUUUCCUGUGCCUUUUUCUGCUUAUGGGGCCCAGCACCCUGUCACCGAUGCCCUUGUAAAAGGCAGGCUCCCACCCUCUCCCAAUAGUCUUUUCUGGAGCCCCCAGACCAGACCCCU